AUGGUUACAAAGUCGAGGCUCUCACCUUUUGCAAAUAGGAAGGUACGGAGGGAUAGAAAUAGUGAACGGGUGGCUUAUCAGAGACCCAAAAUUACUAAACCAAAGAAGUUUUUGCGGUGGUUCCCAUUGAUCAAUGCAGUAACACUGUCACGAAAGAAACUUCUACUUCCUAUGCCUCCUGUGAAGAAUCUUCGGAAAUCUUUUGUCCUAAACAAUGAACUGCG
rnacentral:misc_RNA from 1 species